UUUGCAAUUUUUCUAAUUUUGGCGCACAAUGUGUUUGCUGGUUUUCCAGCUAUGGCGAUAAACGCGUUGCGGAAUAAGCGUUGCGGACCCGGGGGCAGUGCCCGGCGCCUCCACCAUUUAUCUUCUCUUGUACGAUUUCCUUCGGGAUCAGGGCACGAGGGGAUCUCGGGGGGCGAAACAGGAUCGACGUGCGUAGUAAAGGCAAUGGCUUUCGCUCGGUGGGGUACCGCCGAUACCGGUCCAUUUGUAAUAGUUGCCAACGACAACUAUGCUCCGGUUCGUGCCGCUGCUUAAUGCAGUCUCACAACCGACACAUUAAGUCCUAGGUGCUAGCCCAUCUAGGCGGGGUUCGGGAGGCGCCUGGCAACAGAAGCCUCCCA
rnacentral:tmRNA from 1 species